AUACGGAGGAUCCGAGCGUUAUCCGGAUUUAUUGGGUUUAAAGGGUGCGUAGGUGGGCCUGUAAGUCAGUGGUGAAAGUUUGCAGCUUAACUGUAAAAUUGCCGUUGAAACUGCCGGUCUUGAGUGCAAAUGAGGUAAGCGGAAUGUGUUGUGUAGCGGUGAAAUGCUUAGAUAUGACACAGAACACCGAUUGCGAAGGCAGCUUACUGGGAUGCCACUGACACUGAGGCACGAAAGCGUGGGUAUCAAACAGGAUUAGAUACCCUGGUAGUCCACGCAGUAAACGAUGAGUACUAGUUGUCUGCGAUAUAUUGUAGGUGACACAGCGAAAGCGUUAAGUAUUCCACCUGGGGAGUACGUUCGCAAGAAUGAAACUCAAAUGAAUUGACGGGG
rnacentral:rRNA from 1 species